rnacentral:rRNA from 1 species
AGUGAACGCUGGCGGUAGGCCUAACACAUGCAAGUCGAACGGCAGCACAGUAAGAGCUUGCUCUUACGGGUGGCGAGUGGCGGACGGGUGAGGAAUACAUCGGAAUCUACUUUUUCGUGGGGGAUAACGUAGGGAAACUUACGCUAAUACCGCAUACGACCUACGGGUGAAAGCAGGGGAUCUUCGGACCUUGCGCGAUUGAAUGAGCCGAUGUCGGAUUAGCUAGUUGGCGGGGUAAAGGCCCACCAAGGCGACGAUCCGUAGCUGGUCUGAGAGGAUGAGCAGCCACACUGGAACUGAGACACGGUCCAGACUCCUACGGGAGGCAGCAGUGGGGAAUAUUGGACAAUGGGCGCAAGCCUGAUCCAGCCAUACCGCGUGGGUGAAGAAGGCCUUCGGGUUGUAAAGCCCUUUUGUUGGGAAAGAAAAGCAGCAGGUUAAUACCCCGCCGUUCUGACGGUACCCAAAGAAUAAGCACCGGCUAACUUCGUG